rnacentral:misc_RNA from 1 species
AAGUCGUAACAAGGUUUCCGUAGGUGAACCUGCGGAAGGAUCAUUAUCGAAUUAUAGGCGAGGGUUGUAGCUGGCCUCUCGAGGCACGUGCACGCCCGAGCCCUUGAAUCCCACGACACACCUGUGAACCCACCGUAGGCCUUCGGGCUUAUGCAUCGUUAAUAUUACGCCGUAUGUGACAUAGAAUGUUAGAGACGAAUGGGAAAAAAAUGAUAAUACAACUUUCAACAACGGAUCUCUUGGCUCUC